rnacentral:rRNA from 1 species
CCUACGGGAGGCAGCAGUAGGGAAUUUUCGGCAAUGGGGGGAACCCUGACCGAGCAACGCCGCGUGAACGAAGAAGUUAUUCGUAAUGUAAAGUUCUUUUAACAGGGAAGAAAGAGAAAUUUGACGGUACCUGACGAAUAAGCUCCGGCUAACUACGUGCCAGCAGCCGCGGUAAUACGUAGGGAGCGAGCGUUAUCCGGAAUUAUUGGGCGUAAAGGGUGCGUAGAUGGCAUAGUAAGUCUUUGGUAAAAAUGCUGGGCUCAACCCAGUAGGGCAAAAGAUACUGCAAAGCUAGAGUAUGACAGAGGUAAGUGGAACUACAUGUGUAGCGGUAAAAUGCGUAGAUAUAUGUAAGAACACCAGUGGCGAAGGCGGCUUGCUGGGUCGAUACUGACAUUGAGGCACGAAAGCGUGGGGAGCAAACAGGAUUAGAUACCCCUGUAGUC